UAAUAAGUGUUUUUAUGGCACUUUUUUAAAUCCAUAUCCACCUUGUGUGCAAUGUCGGUCGAUCUUCUUUUUUUUGAGGAUCGACCAAAACAUCAACCUUUAUUUUUUUAACUCUUUGUCUGAAAAAAUAUUAUGAAUAAAACAAUUCAAAAUA
rnacentral:misc_RNA from 1 species